AUGGCAUGAUAGGGACAUUUUCUGAUGAGAUCCUUUAAUCGUUCCCAUGAGUCAUGGGACUGCUCACCAUCUUGUUGUGAGAAGCUAGUGAGAGUUCAUCUU
rfam:Cephalotus follicularis DNA, scaffold: scaffold633, isolate: St1.